CCCCAGGUACCAGCUCCGCGCGCGCUUGCGCAGUGCCAGCCCUUGCGCCCACUCUCCACCUGACUCUCGUUUGAUUUGCCCAGUAACAGACGUCACUGUGCUCAGAGCAAAACAGAGGCUCAGAAAGGAGACAGCGGAAUAGAUAAAGAUGCAGGGGUCCGCUAGCCAAAGAAUGUAGGCAGCCCCUAGAAGCUGCAAAAAGCAAGGACACAGAUUCUUCUCUGGGACCUCCAGAAAGAGAAACAGCCCUACUGACAUCUUGAUUUUAAUCGCUUAAGACCCAUUGCAGACUUCUGACCUCCAGGAUAAUAAGGCAAUAAAUCUGUGUUGUUUUAAGCCACUAAA